GCUUAGUGGUAUCUUUAUACUUGUAUUUGUAUAGUAGAAUGAUCGAAUGCGGCAAAAUUUCCAUAUCAUGUUAUAUAACAAACAGAAUGUGGCAUUUUAAACUCAUCACAUUCCAGAUUUAAAUUUUGUACACAAGUUGCCUGUCUCAUCUGCAAAAAAAACUUCAUCAGUGCACUCAAUUCAAAAAUGUUAAAAAUUCGCUUUUAGCAACC
rnacentral:lncRNA from 1 species